AUCGAAUCUUUGAACGCACCUUGCGCCCUUUGGUAUUCCGAGGGGCAUGCCUGUUUGAGUGUCAUUAAAUACCAUCAACCCUCUUUUGACUUCGGUCUCGAGAGUGGCUUGGAAGUGGAGGUCUGCUGGAGCCUAACGGAGCCAGCUCCUCUUAAAUGUAUUAGCGGAUUUCCCUUGCGGGAUCGCGUCUCCGAUGUGAUAAUUUCUACGUCGUUGACCAUCUCGGGGCUGACCUAGUCAGUUUCAAUAGGAGUCUGCUUCCAACCGUCUCUUGACCGAGACUAGCGACUUGUGCGCUAACUUUUGACUUGACCUCAAAUCAGGUAGGACUACCCGCUGAACUUAAGCAUAUCAAUAAGCGGAGGAA
rnacentral:rRNA from 1 species